rnacentral:rRNA from 1 species
UACGGAAGGGGCUAGCGUUGUUCGGAAUUACUGGGCGGAAAGAGCGCGUAGGCGGCUUACCAAGUUGGGGGUGAAAUCCCGGAGCUCAACUCCGGAACUGCCUUCAAAACUGGUAGGCUCGAGUCCGGAAGAGGGGCGUGGAAUUCCCAGUGUAGAGGUGAAAUUCGUAGAUAUUGGGAAGAACACCGGUGGCGAAGGCGGCGAUCUGGGUCGAUACUGACGCUGAGGUGCGAAAGCGUGGGGAGCAAACAGG